UAAGCAGGGAAGUGUGUAUCGGCGUUGUGCGAUAAUGAAUGCACUCUGAAUCCGAAAGUGUUCCCUGCAACAAGAACCGAAAUCAAUCGGGGGGAAGAUGGGCAGUUGUGUUUCAAUCUCCAUUGAAUUUCUCAACAAUCAUCUUCCCCACAUUU